rnacentral:rRNA from 1 species
UUUCCUACGGGGGGCAGCAGUGGGGAAUAUUGCACAAUGGGGGAAACCCUGAUGCAGCGACGCCGCGUGAGUGAAGAAGUAUUUCGGUAUGUAAAGCUCUAUCAGCAGGGAAGAAAGUGACGGUACCUGACUAAGAAGCCCCGGCUAACUACGUGCCAGCAGCCGCGGUAAUACGUAGGGGGCAAGCGUUAUCCGGAUUUACUGGGUGUAAAGGGAGCGUAGACGGAGGAGCAAGUCUGAAGUGAAAGCCCGCGGCUCAACUGCGGGACUGCUUUGGAAACUGUUCAUCUAGAGUGUCGGAGAGG